rnacentral:rRNA from 1 species
UGGUGGAGUGAUUUGUCUGGUUAAUUCCGUUAACGAACGAGACCGCGACCUGCUAAAUAGGGAGCCUCAUCCUCUGGAUGGGGUUAGCUCUUCUUAGAGGGACUAUCGGAUGGUGUACCCGGUGGAAGUUCGCGGCAAUAACA